UUGAAUCUCUGAAUAGAAGAACCUAGUUCAAUUUCAAAGCACAUGCACAUGCAGGCACUUAGAGAGGGAGGCAAUAAUAGCUUCAUCUAUAAUCUUGAAAGGCCAUAUCAGCUAAAUUCCAACAGUGAAACACAAUCAAACAAUGGCAUCAGGCUGCCAGUAAAAUAAGCAUGAGAGAGACAAAUGCUAAUUCAAAUAGAGGGGAUAUAUAUACAAGUCAUGAAGAAUAAAAACAAGCAAAACAAAGUAUGCG
rnacentral:misc_RNA from 1 species